CUCUCUCUCUCUCUCUCUCUCUCUGCAUAUUGCAUGGGUGAUACUGUUUGGCGUGACGAUAUUCAAUUUUUUGUAUCACCUUUGGUUUGGACCACUUUUUUUUUUUUUUUUUUUCAAUUUUUAUUUGUGAAUUCCCUUUCAACCCUUGUUUGCUCUCCUAUUUAUACUACCCUUUAUCCUCUCUUCCUUCCCUGUGUGGAGAAGAAGAAGCACUAAAAUAGGGUGUUUUUUUUUUAUAUCUAGGGUUUGUAGUAUGUUCAUUCUCUUAUCGUGCACCGGCAUCGGUUGAAGCUGCCAGCAUGAUCUUAACCUUCCUCUUCUUUAUAUGUUGGGGAAAGAUCAGAUCAUGUGGCAGUUUCACCUGUUGUUUGUUGUCACGAAAACCCUAAUUUGAAUUCUUCAGAAUAAACCCUAAAUUUCUCUUCUUUUUUUUUAUUAGGGUUUUCCAUUGCUCAAUCCCAAUAUAAGGGUUUAGAGUGACAGGGAUUUUGUGUCUCGGUGGAGAUCAACAAUUUCAAGGGUCCUUCAGGUGCUUUGGUGAGUGAGCCACUGAGCCUCAUCAAUAAUAUUAAUUCCCUUAAUCCACCGUACAAAUUAACCAAUUUUGUUAAUUAAUUAGGUAAUUAAUUGUUCUGUAUAUGUAAUUCCCUUAUGUUCUCUCUUGUUUUCUGGGUUUUGCAGUAUCAGGUACAAUCAUAUCAGAAUUCUUUUUAGGGUUUCAGUGAAUGUCUAUUCACCUAGUGUACAUACAUAUAUAUUUGAGAAUUGAUGCAUAUUGUGUGAGAAUAUAUAUAUAAUGUGUGUGUGUGUGCUAUCUACGGUUUGUGUGGAACUGGUUUCCUUUUUAUAUCCCUCGUAUUUGAACAAGAAAUUCAAAAUUGAGACAGAUCUUGCCAUGUAAGCCUUAAUUUUUGCAUAUCCUCUCUUCUCCUGGUUUUUUUUUUUUUUUUGAAAAAUGUGAACUACAGGUUGUUAGAAGGCCCUUUUAGUUUAAAGACUUGAACUUUACUUUCUUACUUUGUUUUAGGAUUUUAACCACUUGAGAGGUAGUUACAUGAUUCAACAACGAAGCUGAAAGAGAGAGAGAGAGUGUGUGUGUGUUCAUGUGAGGUUGGAUUGAUGAUGUAAUAUUAUGUACAGAGUAAUUGAGCUGUGGUCAGUGUGUGUGUGUAUGUAUAUAUAUGUAUAUGCAUAUAUAUAUAUAUAUAUAUAUAACCUGAUGAUGCAUGUGUUGGACAAUCUUAUGUAAUAGGAUUCAUGUGAAGGUGAAAUCAUGGAGUAGUAUUCAUGAAAAUAGCAUUAUGAAGAAAAUGCUUCAAAUAUGGGGAAUCUUGGAUGACCAUUACAGUGGAAUAGUAAGCUUGUCUUAUUUCAAGAUCUCUCUAGCUAUAUAUACACAAACCCAUAUAUGCCUUUAUGUUCUUACAUCAGUACAAUUUUGACUUUUCUAUAUUUCCACCAAUCUGAAGUACAAUGAAGAAGAUAUCAUAUGCUAGUGUUUGAGAGAGGUAGAUAUUACUCACACACACACACCAAAUGUGUGCAUAUAUUAGCUUUUCCUAAAAAAAAUUAGUAGUUAAUAUCUUGUAAUUCUUGAAAAUUAUUCAGGUUUUUGGAUCAUCCCUCUCUGUUAACCUCUUGAUAAGUUGUUGGGUGUCAGUUUAGAAAUUCGAACCUCGAGAUAGUUUAGUUAGUUAUUUUUUUGGACUUAGGGCAUACGCCCCUGAGGUCAGGAGUUCGAACCAAUCAGCUGGGAUAUUCUUUGUGAGAUUAUGGUUCCGUGGGCUUGUCGCAAUUCCAUGCCCUUUCUCGCAUGGGGUUCAGUCUAGUCUUAUUUAUCGUCAGCGUGGUGAGAGUUAUUCUAACGACUCGAGAUUUAUGCCCACUCAACUGUCCUAAUGACAUGUUCCAUCAGAAAGAAUUAAUGGAGAACUUGCGUCUUCUGGCCGAGUUGGAAGGAAUGGAGAACAUAAUUUAAAUUUUUUUAGAUGAUAUUGUAUGAUCUCUUAAAAUUUCUUUCAAUUUAAUUAACCUAAAGGUGGUAGGUAGUUACCAUUUCUUGGUUUUUCUCUGCACAAAUAAUUAUAUCAUUAAUUGUUGUAUUGUAUUGUAUGUGAAUAUAGAUGGAUUUUGUUGGAGAUUGGGCCCUCUAUAUAUCUCAUUUGGUAUGUUUAUGCAAGUGUGAAAGAUUCCACAUUGCUUUCAUUUU